rnacentral:lncRNA from 1 species
CCUUUUGGCCCCAUGUUCAUAGCCGCAUCAUAGCAAGCUUGUUGAUAUCUCAACUACUGUUAUUGGGUUUGCUCAGUACAAAAAAAGCUGCCAAUUCUACCCCGUUGCUCGUUGCCUUACCAAUAUUGACUUUAUUCUUCCACAAGUACUGCAAGAACCGAUUCGAACCUGCAUUUCGUAAAUAUCCUCUCGAGGUAAAAUCUUAGUACUUCAAGUCUAGUUGUUGAAAAGAAUCUUCACCAACAUGUAAUCUGAUAUUUUGAUGCAUUUCUUCAUGACUUGCUGAUACACGCACAUAAAGUCAAGUGUAAAGGAAUAAUUAUAGCAAUUUCUCAAGUGUAAUUUUAACAACCUUCACGGGGUGUUUAGGAGUUCCUAAGUCGGGAGUUGUUUAGUCUAGAGUUAGGAAACGUUAGAGAGAGAGAAAGAUUGGAUAGAAAAAUGUGCAAAGUUCUUCUGUGACCACUUUUGAAGUCGGUAGAGUUGACUUGAUUAACACCGACUUGUAAAAUCGGUGGGUCAAACACUCCUUUAAAAGUUUUACGCAAAUUGAAUGUUUGAAGAUACGACAGUAACAAACACUAUAAUUCUAAGUGAACUUUUAUGGUAUUCCUCGGAGUCUUACUUUCUACCGUUUCUUGUUCUCUAGGAAGCAAUGGCCAAAGAUACACUGGAGCGAAGCACGGAACCCGACCUCAACGUAAAAGCCUUCUUAGCCGAUGCUUACUUGCAUCCAAUUUUCAGAUCUUUUGAGGAAGAAGAAUUAUCAG